AAUACUUCAACCCUCCUCUUUCUUAAUGAUUGAAGAGGUGUUUGGUUUCUGAGCGCUGCUGGCCUUUACGGUCUAGCUCGUUCGUAAUGCAUUAGCAUCCGCAAUCGAACUUCGGAUUGACUUGGCGUAAUAGACUAUUCGCUGAGGAAUUCUAGUCUUCGGACUAGAGCCGGGUUGGGUUAAAGGAAGCUUCUAAUCAGAAUGUCUACAUUUUAAG
rnacentral:misc_RNA from 1 species